rnacentral:misc_RNA from 1 species
AAGGACAUGAAACUGAAACUUAUUGAGCCACUUAAACUCCUCUUUAAGGAUGAGGUACGCCAACUGGGGAGCAUAUUGAACGUUCCUGAUGCGUUUCUAAAGCGACAUCCUUUUCCUGGGCCUGGUCUUGCUGUACGGGUGCUGGGUGACGUAACAGAAGGCAAUGCAUUGGAAGUUCUUCGCCAUGUUGAUGAGAUUUUUAUUCAAUCAAUCAAAGAUGCUGGACUUUAUGAUUCGAUAUGGCAGGCAUUUGCGGUAUUUUU